AGCAGCCGCGGUAAUUCCAGCUCCAAUAGCGUAUAUUAAAGUUGUUGCAGUUAAAAAGCUCGUAGUUGAAUUUCGGAAUCUGUCCAUCGGUCGGGCUUCACUGUCCGUACUGGUGUGGUGGGUUCUUACCUUCUGAAUAACCAGCAUGCCAUUUAUUUGGUGCGCUGGGGAAGCAGGACUAUUACCUUGAAAAAUUAGAGUGCUCAAAGCAGGCUAGUGCCUGAAUACAUUAGCAUGGAAUAAUAAAAUAGGACGGCAUGGUUCUAUUUUGUUGGUUUCUAGGAUCACCGUAAUGAUUAAUAGGGAUAGUUGGGGGCAUUAGUAUUCAAUUGUCAGAGGUGAAAUUCUUGGAUUUAUUGAAGACUAACUUCUGCGAAAGCAUUUGCCAAGGAUGUUUUCAUUAAUCAAGAACGAAAGUUAGGGGAUCGAAGACGAUCAGAUACCGUCGUAGUCUUAACCAUAAACUAUGCCGACUAGGGAUCGGACGAUGUUAAUUUUUAAUGUACUCGUUCGGUCG
rnacentral:rRNA from 1 species